UACGGAGGAUGCGAGCGUUAUCCGGAUUUAUUGGGUUUAAAGGGUGCGUAGGCGGGCUUUUAAGUCAGCGGUAAAAAUUCGGGGCUCAACCCCGUCCGGCCGUUGAAACUGGGGGUCUUGAGUGGGCGAGAAGAAGGCGGAAUGCGUGGUGUAGCGGUGAAAUGCAUAGAAAUCACGCAGAACCCCGAUUGCGAAGGCAGCCUUCCGGCGCCCUACUGACGCUGAGGCACGAAAGUGCGGGGAUCGAACAGG
rnacentral:rRNA from 1 species